GUCUUGCUGGUGGAAUGGUAGACACGAUUGAUUCAAAACCAAUUGCUAAUAAGCGUGGAGGUUCAAGUCCUCUGCAAGAUA
rnacentral:tRNA from 1 species